rnacentral:rRNA from 1 species
UACGGCGAGUGAGCGGCAAAAGCUCAAAUUUGAAAUCUGGUACCUUCGGUGCCCGAGUUGUAAUUUGGAGAGGGCAACUUUGGGGCCGUUCCUUGUCUAUGUUCCUUGGAACAGGACGUCAUAGAGGGUGAGAAUCCCGUGUGGCGAGGAGUGCGGUUCUUUGUAAAGUGCCCUCGAAGAGUCGAGUUGUUUGGGAAUGCAGCUCUAAGUGGGUGGUAAAUUCCAUCUAAAGCUAAAUAUUGGCGAGAGACCGAUAGCGAACAAGUACAGUGAUGGAAAGAUGAAAAGAACUUUGAAAAGAGAGUGAAAAAGUACGUGAAAUUGUUGAAAGGGAAGGGCAUUUGAUCAGACAUGGUGUUUUGUGCCCUCUGCUCCUUGUGGGUAGGGGAAUCUCGCAUUUCACUGGGCCAGCAUCAGUUUUGGUGGCAGGAUAAAUCCAUAGGAAUGUAGCUUGCCUCGGUAAGUAUUAUAGCCUGUUGGGAAUACUGCCAGCUGGGACUGAGGACUGCGACGUAAGUCAAGGAUGCUGGCAUAAUGGUUAUAUGCCGCCCGUCUUGAA